AUUAAACGCUGGCGGCAUGUCUUACACAUGCAAGUCGAACGGCAGCACGGGGGCAACCCUGGUGGCGAGUGGCGAACGGGUGAGUAAAGCAUCGGAACGUGCCCUGGAGUGGGGGAUAACGUAGCGAAAGUUACGCUAAUACCGCAUAUUCUGUGAGCAGGAAAGCAGGGGAUCGCAAGACCUUGCGCUCUGGGAGCGGCCGAUGUCGGAUUAGCUAGUUGGUGGGUAAAGGCCUACCAAGGCGACGAUCCGUAGCGGGUCUGAGAGGAUGAUCCGCCACACUGGGACUGAGACACGGCCCAGACUCCUACGGGAGGCAGCAGUGGGGAAUUUUGGGACAAUGGGCGAAGCCUGAUCCAGCCAUGCCGCGUGAGUGAAGAAGGCCU
rnacentral:rRNA from 1 species